rnacentral:rRNA from 1 species
AGUAACAGUUAGAAAUGACUGCUAAUACCGCNUAAGACCACAGGAUUGCAUGAUCCGGUGGUAAAAACUACCGGUGGUAUGAGAUGGACCCGCGUCUGAUUAGCUGGUUGGUGAGGUAACGGCUCGCCAAGGCGACGAUCAGUAGCCGGCCUGAGAGGGUGAUCGGCCACACUGGGACUGAGACACGGCCCAGACUCCUACGGGAGGCAGCAUG